UAUAGAAAAAAAAAUUUGAAAAUUUUCUUUCUCGAUACACAAAGUUUGCCUGUACUCACGUAACUCCAGUACGACCAGACUGAACAGUAAAGGACUCUUUGAAAAAUGAGCCAGAGCCAAAGACAGCUGUUCAGUAAAAACCAGCUGACUGAAAUCUUAGAAAUUAUUUUUUUCUUAUGUCGAGCCAUUUGAGAACCGGCGGAUUUUUCCAAAGUGUCAUACCAAUCGCCGUAAGGAUUAUGAAUGACGGUAAAGUAUGGAUGAAAUCUGGUCCCACGGCAAUUUUGGCGUAUUCACGGAAAACCUUGUGUUGUAAAAAAAGGACCUCGUGCGGCACUGAGAGAUAUGUCAGCACUUGAGAGUGUAAAGCGCUCAGACAGGACAUCACUAAAACGUGAUGGUCACCUUGGUCCAGAAGAAUAAUCUCAACAGUUGCACCCAGAGGAAUACGACGCACGUGAACGCAUUCGCACGUAGGAGAUUCAUUGCCGGCG